AAAACUUUCAACAACGGAUCUCUUGGUUCUGGCAUCGAUGAAGAACGCAGCGAAAUGCGAUAAGUAAUGCGAAUUGCAGAAUUCAGUGAAUCAUCGAAUCUUUGAACGCACAUUGCGCCCGGCGGCAUUCCGCCGGGCAUGCCUGUUCGAGCGUCAUGUCACCCCUCGGAGCCUCGGCUUU
rnacentral:rRNA from 1 species